rnacentral:sRNA from 1 species
GUCAUUGCAGACUCCUAUAUUUUGCCUUUCUCUGAAGUUCUUGACUGGAAGAGAGCAUCUGUGGUUGUACCAGAAGAAAAGAUGUCAGAUGUGUACAGUAUUUUGCAGAGCAUCCCCCAAAGACAGAUUGAAGAAAUGCAGAGACAGGCCCGGUGGUUCUGGGAAGCGUACUUCCAGUCAAUUAAAGCCAUUGCCCUGGCCACCCUGCAGAUUAUCAAUGACCGGAUCUAUCCAUAUGCUGCCAUCUCCUAUGAAGAAUGGAAUGACCCUCCUGUUGUGGUAAGUGAAUUCCAGUGCUAGCCACAUGAGGCAUGGUCCAGCUGUCAGGGUGGGUGGAAGGAAAAAUGUACUACAAUUGUAAAGGUUAUUUAAAUUCUAGCUUUCUAAGAUAAGAGUGUGCUUUUUAUACUUGGGGCCUGAUAAGGGCAGCAUAAUUUUGAAACACUGA